UUCUUCAGUUACAACUCCAUGUAGAUCA
rnacentral:sRNA from 1 species